rnacentral:tRNA from 1 species
ACUUAAAUAGCUUAUAUUAAAGUUUUACAUUGAAGAUGUAAAGAAAAAUUUUAUAUUUUUUAAGUA